rnacentral:rRNA from 1 species
CCAGACUCCUACGGGAGGCAGCAGUAGGGAAUCUUCGGCAAUGGACGAAAGUCUGACCGAGCAACGCCGCGUGAGUGAAGAAGGUUUUCGGAUCGUAAGACUCUGUUGGUAGAGAAGAACGUUGGUGAGAGUGGAAAGCUCAUCAAGUGACGGUAACUACCCAGAAAGGGACGGCUAACUACGUGCCAGCAGCCGCGGUAAUACGUAGGUCCCGAGCGUUGUCCGGAUUUAUUGGGCGUAAAGCGAGCGCAGGUGGUUUAUUAAGUCUGGUGUAAAAGGCAGUGGCUCAACCAUUGUAUGCAUUGGAAACUGGUAGACUUGAGUGCAGGAGAGGAGAGUGGAAUUCCAUGUGUAGCGGUGAAGUGCGUAGAUAUAUGGAGGAACACCGGUGGCGAAAGCGGCUCUCUGGCCUGUAACUGACACUGAGGCUCGAAAGCGUGGGGAGCAAACAGGAUUAGAUACCCUGGUGGUCCACGCCGUAAACGAUGAGUGCUAGAUGUAGGGAGCUAUAAGUUCUCUGUAUCGCAGCUAACGCAAUAAGCACUCCGCCUGGGGAGUACGACCGCAAGGUUGAAACUCAAAGGAAUUGACGGGGGCCCGCACAAGA